UACGUAGGGGGCAAGCGUUGUCCGGAUUUAUUGGGCGUAAAGAGCGUGUAGGCGGCCAUGUAGGUCCGUUGUGAAAACUCGAGGCUCAACCUCGAGACGCCGAUGGAAACCAUGUGGCUAGAGUCCGGAAGAGGAGAGUGGAAUUCCUGGUGUAGCGGUGAAAUGCGCAGAUAUCAGGAAGAACACCCGUGGCUAAGGCGGCUCUCUAGUAGCGGUACUGACGCUGAGACGCGAAAGCGUGGGGAGCGAACA
rnacentral:rRNA from 1 species